GGGGAUGUCAUGGUUUCGACAGGUCGAUGUUUGAUUCAAAGGGCAGUGGUGUGGCUACCUUAAAAGCCAACAAAAAAUAUCUGGAAACAGACUUUCUUUCGCUGCUUAAUUAGCUAAAUACUGCUAUCAGCGUGCACCUUAUAGGUUGGUCUUUGGCUUAUAAACGUGUAUCACAAACAAAGAAUAAGGUUCAUAAGGCGACUCACCGCGUGUUCCCGACAAUCCCAUUGAGUCAAUCAUCUCUUGCUUGUCAUGUCCUUAAGAGGUGAUUAAUAGCGAUAUGACUAAACUGUAGAACUUUGAAUG
rnacentral:tmRNA from 1 species